rnacentral:rRNA from 1 species
UCAAGCUACAAAGAGCACAAGGGGAAUGCCUUGGCAUCGGGAGCCGAAGAAGGACGCGACUAACUGCGAUAAGCUACGGGGAGCCGUAAGUAGGCAUUGAUCCGUAGAUUUCCGAAUGGAGCAAUCCGACUAGAGUCAUGUCUAGUCAUCAUAUACUGAAUAAAAUAGGUAUAUGAGGGGAACCGCCUGAACUGAAACAUCUAAGUAGGGCGAGGAAAAGAAAUCAACCGAGAUUCCGCUAGUAGUGGCGAGCGAACGCGGAAGAGGCCAAACCGAGAGUAGUAAUACUUUCGGGGUUAGGACAGAAAUGUGUACACAGAGGUUUAGCAGAAUUGUAUGGGAAGGCAAACCAAAGAGAGUGAAAGUCUCGUAUGCGAAAAACUGAAGUGGCUAUCUGAAUCCAGAGUACCGCCGGACACGAGGAAUCCGGUGGGAAGACGGGGGGACCAUCCUCCAAGCCUAAAUACUAACCGAUGACCGAUAGAGAAGAGUACCGUGAGGGAAAGGUGAAAAGCACCCCGGGAGGGGAGUGAAAGAGAACCUGAAACCUUGUGCUUACAAGCACCGAGAGCCCGUCAAAGGGUGAUCGGGUACCUAUUGUAGAAUGGUCCGGCGAGUGAAUGUUACUGGCGAGGUUAAGCACCUAAGGUGUGGAGCCAAAGCGAAAGCAAGUCUGAAUAGGGCGAUUUUAAGUCAGUAGUAUUCGACCCGAAACCGGGUGACCUACCCAUGUCCAGGUUGAAGUGGAGGUAAAACUCCAUGGAGGACCGAACCGACUCCCGUUGAAAUGGUAGCGGAUGAGGUGUGGGUAGCGGAGAAAUUCCAAUCGAACCCGGAGAUAGCUGGUUCUCUCCGAAAUAGCUUUAGGGCUAGCCUCGACUGAACAUUACCGGAGGUAAAGCACUGAAUGGGCUAGGGGCCGAGAGGUUACUGAACCCUAUCAAACUAAGAAUGCCAGAUAAUUGUUUUCCGGGAGUCAGACGGCGUGAGAUAAGUUUCGUCGUCAAAAGGGAAAGAGCCCAGACCCACAGCUAAGGUCCCAAAGUAUAGUUAAGUGGAAAAGGAUGUGGGGUUGCCCAGACAACCAGGAUGUUGGCUUAGAAGCAGCCACUCAUUAAAAGAGUGCGUAAUAGCUCACUGGUCGAGUGACCCUGCGCCGAAAAUUCAACGGGGCUAAAUUAUACACCGAAGCUUGGGAUACCGCAAGGUAUGGUAGGAGAGCGUUCUGUAAGGAGUGAAGUGAGAGCGAAAGCGUUCGUGGACUUUACAGAAGUGAGAAUGCCGGAAUGAGUAGCGAGAAAUAUGUGAGAAUCAUAUUGGCCGAAAGUCUAAGGUUUUUGGAGGAAGGUUCGUCCGCUCCAAGUAAGUCGGGAGCUAAGGUGAGGCCUAACGGCGUAGCCGAUGCACAUACGGUAGAUAUUCCGUAACCACCGAAAGAUUUAAACACAGGGACACCUUGAAAGGGCAUAUCCCGGGAGUUGGUUUACCCGGGCGUAAGGGAUCGAAAUUUGAGUAGAGAAGUAUGUUUGGACGAGGGCGAGAAAAGCUGUGUGUAUAUUUUAGGUGCCCGUACCGCAAACCGACACAGGUGGACAGGAAGAGGAUUCUAAGGCCAACGGGAGAAGGGUAAUUAAGGAACUCGGCAAAUUGACCCCGUAACUUAGGGAUAAGGGGUGCUCAUAGAAAUAUGAGCCGCAGAGAAUAGGCCCAGGCAACUGUUUAUCAAAAACACAGGUCUCUGCCAAAUCGAAAGAUGAAGUAUAGGGGCUGACACCUGCCCGGUGCUGGAAGGUUAAGAGGAGGAGUGAGAGCUCCGAAUUGAAGCCCCAGUAAACGGCGGCCGUAACUAUAACGGUCCUAAGGUAGCGAAAUUCCUUGUCGGGUAAGUUCCGACCCGCACGAAUGGUGUAAUGAUCUGGGCACUGUCUCAAUUACCCGCCCGGCGAAAUUGUAGUACCGGUGAAGAUGCCGGUUACCCGCGACAAGACGGAAAGACCCCAUGGAGCUUUACUGCAGCUUGAUAUUGGGUUUCGGUAAUCUAUGUACAGGAUAGGCGGGAGACUAGGAAGUAAAGGCGCCAGCUUUUACGGAGUCGCCCUUGGGAUACCGCUCUUAGAUUGCUGGAAUUCUAACCUGCGGCCAUGAAACUGGUCGGGGAACAUUGUCAGGCGGGCAGUUUGACUGGGGCGGUCGCCUCCUAAAGAGUAACGGAGGCGCUCAAAGGUUGGCUCAGCACGGACGGAAA